GUCCGUGGCAUCCGCGCAGCGGCCGCAAGUGUAGCAGGUUUCGUACCUGGUGUUCAUCGCCGUUAAGUCAUCGCUGCUACCACUCAGGCGCGGCUCUAUCCCGCCGCUCCCUCUACCCUCUCGGCACUGCCAGCAGUAAGAAUUUUUGCUACGACACUCUCUUCAGCAGGAGGUGAUGGCUGUCAGGAAUUAUGGUGCUUGUGAAGUGAUAAACUGAACCCUUUGGAUUCCAUGAAGUUAUUAAAGAAUAUAGUUUUCAAAUCACGGCAAAAUCGUGAUUUCAGCAACACGCCAAGAUGAAUCAUUGUUUUCAUGGACAACUGUGGGAGGCAGUU